rnacentral:rRNA from 1 species
CCUACGUGAGGCAGCAGUGAGGAAUAUUGGUCAAUGGGCGGAAGCCUGAACCAGCCAAGUCGCGUGAGGGAAUAAGGCCCUACGGGUCGUAAACCUCUUUUGCCGGGGAGCAAGGUCGGGGACGUGUCCCGGCCCGGAGAGUACCCGGAGAAAAAGCAUCGGCUAACUCCUGGCCAGCAGCCGCGGUAAUACGGAGGAUGCGAGCGUUAUCCGGAUUUAUUGGGUUUAAAGGGUGCGUAGGCGGGCUUUUAUGUCGGCGGGAAAAAUUCGGGGCUCAACGCAGUCCGGCCGUUGAAACUGGGGGCCUUGAGUGGGCGAGAAGAAGGCGGAAUGCGCGGUGUAGCGGUGAAAUGCAUAGAUAUCACGCAGAACCCCGAUUGCGAAGGCAGCCUUCCGGCGCCCUACUGACGCUGAGGCACGAAAGUGCGGGGAUCGAACAGGAUUAGAUACCCUUGUAGUC